ACUGUUUACUUUAAUCCAUCCCACUGGGGGUGGAGUCCCCUGAAUCCAACGCACUUUCGUUCCUCCACUUGUGACCUUCCUGCUUAACGUAGCUACCGUCGGGAUGUGGGGAAGUUUCGGUUCGUCUUCAUUCCGCUCUGACAUCGCCUGAGGAUUCUCGUCCGAACCAAACCACAUAUAAACUGAACACGUAGUUCCUCAACAAAAUCCACGCGUUCAACUAUGCUUAUGUAAAUAAUAUACCCGCAGAGUUCUGAAGGCCCAUGCGGUAUCACCAUCCAAGACCGCCAGUAGGGAAGGCGAGGGAGAACUACAUAACUCAAGCUUGGCCGACGAUAGCAUGAGAGCUCUCCAUGCCAUAAAACACAUAUAAAUGUUCCUCCUUCAGUAAAUAUCUCUCUGUGCCCAAAGGACCUUGGACCGCAGUAAACAACACUGCAAGAUUAAGUCUAGUAGAGCAAUCAUCACGGGUAAUCAGCACAUAGACCUCCAUCGAGUCGAGCUCGACGAUAAUAUGGCGAUAGCCUUUCUUCCAACACGGCUCCAAUGCCAAGCGUACCCCCCAUAGCUCGGCUCAAUCGACUUAGCUCUACAGAUAAUCCGAGCAAAUCCAAGAAUCCACUGACCCUUGUCAUCCCGCAGCAAUCCACCCUCUCCUAUUGGUCCGGGGUUGCCGGAUCAUGCGUAUUCCUUUCCAAACUCUUGAGAAUUGUUGGUUGAUGCAAGAUCUUAGGCUUCCUUUAUUUUGGGAAUUUAGCUUUAUCCUUUAGGGAUAUCUUUCAAAACUAAAAAUCAAUGAUUGUGCAUGUUUUGAGAGCCCCCUCUCAUAUGGUGUAGUCAAUUACUAUGGUGCAUCAUUUUUACCGAAA